CAAAAGGCCCUUUUCAGGGCCACCCAUGAUUUCACAGAAAGAAGG
rfam:Heterocephalus glaber contig198602, whole genome shotgun sequence.